UGACAAAUAAUUAACAUGCAUAAACGGUCGUAAUUUAAAAAAAUAAAAUGAAACUAAAACGAGAUAUUACAAAUGUACUAAAAUGGAAGAAACUCAAGAGAAUAUCCGUUGAUGUUUAACAAAUUUCUUGAUCACCAACUCCUAUCAGGGCUCAAAACAAAAACAGGGCAUUGUUUACAACUAUUUUAAACACUAUGAAAAAUUUUAAAGAUGAUGAAGCAUUUCUACUAACCUAGGAAAUUUAGGAAGUUGGUUGUUCAGGUAGCCAAAACAAAAAAAAAAAA
rnacentral:misc_RNA from 1 species